UUUUAUGUGCCCACGGCCACCGCGGUAAUACGUAGGUGGCAAGCGUUAUCCGGAUUUAUUGGGCGUAAAGAGAGUGCAGGCGGUUUUCUAAGUCUGAUGUGAAAGCCUUCGGCUUAACCGGAGAAGUGCAUCGGAAACUGGAUAACUUGAGUGCAGAAGAGGGUAGUGGAACUCCAUGUGUAGCGGUGGAAUGCGUAGAUAUAUGGAAGAACACCAGUGGCGAAGGCGGCUACCUGGUCUGCAACUGACGCUGAGACUCGAAAGCAUGGGUAGCGAACAGGAUUAGAUACCCUGGUAGUCCAUGCCGUAAACGAUGAGUGCUAGGUGUUGGAGGGUUUCCGCCCUUCAGUGCCGGAGCUAACGCAUUAAGCACUCCGCCUGGGGAGUACGACCGCAAGGUUGAAACUCAAAGGAAUUGACGGGGGCCCGCACAAGCGGUGGAGCAUGUGGUUUAAUUCGAAGCUACGCGAAGAACCUUACCAGGUCUUGACAUCUUGCGCCAACCCUAGAGAUAGGGCGUUUCCUUCGGGAACGCAAUGACAGGUGGUGCAUGGUCGUCGUCAGCUCGUGUCGUGAGAUGUUGGGUUAAGUCCCGCAACGAGCGCAACCCUUGUUACUAGUUGCCAGCAUUAAGUUGGGCACUCUAGUGAGACUGCCGGUGACAAACCGGAGGAAGGUGGGGACGACGUCAGAUCAUCAUGCCCCUUAUGACCUGGGCUACACACGUGCUACAAUGGACGGUACAACGAGUCGCGAACUCGCGAGGGCAAGCAAAUCUCUUAAAACCGUUCUCAGUUCGGACUGCAGGCUGCAACUCGCCUGCACGAAGUCGGAAUCGCUAGUAAUCGCGAUUCCGGGCCCC
rnacentral:rRNA from 2 species